rnacentral:tRNA from 1 species
UGUCCUAUGGUGUAAUGGCAACACAACUGAUUUUGGUUCAGUCGUUCCUAGUUCGAAUCUAGGUAGGACAA